rnacentral:lncRNA from 1 species
UUUCACCAUACUAAUACCCUUGUUGAUACUCUCAAUUUUCCAUUCUUCCUUUUAUCCCCGUCCCUAAAUCACUCUUUUACUCUUUCUAAUCUUCCCUAUUUAGCCCGAUGCAGUUGCCGGAACUUUCAUGGGAACAAGACGGGGGUGAAACUCCUUAUGGAGGAAAACUAUCCCUUCAUCUACACCACUAACCGAUUGGGAGUUUCCGGUGACCCACAAAAAUGGUAAACAAUCUUAGCCACCAGUGGGUUUCAAGUUUAGUCAAAUCAGAGGUGAAGUGUUUCUUUGUGCGAAAGCAUUUAUGGACGUAAGAGAGGAUGUUUAGGUAUGUUUAUUACUCUGGAUUUGGGCAUAAUCAUAAGUUUUGUAUGUUCAGACCAAUUGUGAUGAGAAGCGGUUGAUGAGGAAGCAAUCACAUGACCAAUUGAGUAAUUUUUCUAUUUUUUCUUUUCUCGUUUUAUUAUUUGUCACGUUCAUGUAAAUUUCAUCCUUAUCUAUUAGUUUUAUGUAACCAUCUUACAAUAAAUGGUACUAUCUUACAAUAAAUUCAACUGUCAUUUGUGAUAAUAGCACUUCCUUUAUUUUUUUUCUACUCUUUGUUUUCUUACUAAAUCUCUUCACUUGGUAAGUUGUUCAUAUGAGUUUCCUAUACAUUUGGAAUUAUUUUAUCACUUACUACAAUUCUUGAGUUGAGGACUCGACCAUUGAAGAAAAUUUGACAUGUUUUGGUUUAUAAUGUACAUUUAAUCUAAUGAUUCAAAAAUAUAUAUAUAUUUCUUGAUAGAUAGGCUCCACAUCGUUGGGUUUUAAAUGCCAUGGUUGACUUAAUCAAAUAAGGAGCAAUGCGUUCAUUAUAAUCUUGAAUUUUAAUUUGUUUUCAUAUACUCACAUUAUUCAGUUAAUAAGUUAUUCUGUUAUGCAGAUUGCAUUCGCUAGAUACAUCAAUCUCACACAAGAUUGGAUAGAUAAUCAUUAUCGAGUAUGGGUUCUUUCAAAACGAAGGAGGUUAUGGAAACUGGGCACUUUUAAAACCAUUCAUCUAGAUGGCUGCGCUUGAUUUCUAGGUUUGUUAGAAAGUGACAAAGUUUGGUAUUAAUGUGUUAUUGAUGGUGAUAUUCUAAUGUAUUAGUACUUGCGCCACGGUUGAAGGAUCAAAUGGCAGAGUUGAAACAAGAUGAAGCAUGAUAUGAAGGAGAAAUUUGUAUCUUUAUAUUGUUAGGUUUCAAUAAGUUUGAUAUUCUUUUUCCUAUUUCGUUUGUAUAUUCAUCUUCGGUGUGAUUUGUAUAUAUGUAUUUAAAAUUUA